ensembl:lncRNA
AUGUUUCAGCCCAUCAUUUUAUUCAUCCUCAUUCUAGUGUUGUUCUCCUCACUCUCUUAUGCCACCAUUUUUAAACUUGUAUUUCUUUUUACACUCUUUUUUGUCCUGUGAUAACUAUCCGUCCACUCAUUAGCAUAGUCUCGCCCUUUGUUUUGUUUGUUUGUCAAUGUUGUGUAUGUCACCAUGGUUGAAGAAUGACAGGACGGUCACUUUCCAAGCACAGAAGUCUGCAAAACCUUAAUUUCCAAAAAGCUGGAGACUGUUUUAUCCAAGUCAUUCAUCGCAUAUGUAUGGCUGCCUUUGGAAAGUACAUCAUCAAGACAAGAGGUUUAUUUUUUUGCAACUAAAAACUAUUACACAUCAUAAGAAAACACUGAGCCACUCGAAACUACAUUGCCCAGAAGACAUUUCUUUCAUUGAGGACUAUGACUAUCAGGCACACUGAUGCUUGCUUUGCCACCAAAGGCUUGCAAUGAAAUAUGCAACUGCAGUUUACUACUAAGGGGCACAUUACCAUAUUACCCAGAGUGCCUGCCACUGCACUCUGAAGAUACAGUACAUUGGCUGGAAUGAUUACCUGUCAGAACCAUGUAAAGAGGUAUUGGUGGACUUGCCAAUGUGGUCACUUAAGUGACCUUUCAGGAAUUGCAGCGUAAGAUUCUGAGCACAGGCACACAUACACAGAAGAAUGGCUGCAUUGGAAUUGCACUGUGGGCGGGAGCCUGGGAGUUGUGUGUGGGUUGGAGACAGAGCUGACCUGCUUGACAGUUUUGACUCCGAGAUGCAGGAAUGGGAAGAUCAGCUACAGGACAUGCAGAGGAAGAUUGAAGAGUUGUAUAAUGAGGUCAAAGCACGAAGAGAAGCCAGUGAGAGCAGCACAAACAAUAAAAACCUGGACAUUACUUUGCUUCCUGUCAACUCUCAAUAUAGCCACCAGGCCAAUGGUUAUCACGAACCUCAUGGUCACCCCAACAACAGCCUCCCAUUUCAUCAAUGCAGUGAAAUAAAAGCAGAUCCUUCAGUUAUGCAAAGCCUUGGGUUUCACCACCCCAGUGAAUACUGUAAUGGCUCCAACAAUUACAUGCUUAAUUCCCUGAGCAACGGCAGCCAUUACCCUGCCAGUCGUCAUGAUCUUGAAAGGCAAGAUGCCACUGUACACAUACUCAAUGGAUACCUCCAACAGGGCCCGCAUUUUAGGAGGAACCCAGGGAAUCUUGGAGCUCCAAAUAGAGUGAGUACCUCUUUCACUGUUGAUAAAUAUCUUCUCAAAUUGGACUCUUAUACCUCAAGGAUAUGGCUUUACACUUUUUUCACCAUAUUCCUUCAUAUCUCCCUCUUUUUUCAGAACCCCAAGGUAUAUCCAGUUAAACACAGUUAUCAAGACAGCAUGAAGACCAGCCUGGUGACAAACAGGACUGCCUUAUGUGUGGUUCUGGAUGAGACUGAUGAGGCUGAGAACAAAAAGAACAAGAAAUCAAGUUGGGGUGACUCCCAAGGCCGCCACGUUAGCUGGAAAGACCCGGUUUCAUCAAAUGACCUUCCCCCUAAAAAUUCAGCUACCAAACUGGCAAUCAGGCAGAGAGAUUCUUCUCCUGUAACCCCUUUUUCCACUUACUAUGAGUCAUCACAGCAACCUGACAGGAAGUGCCUCUUGCUCGACAGGAAAUCUGGCAGCCCAUCAGUGUUGCGUAAGUUUGGUGCCAUGUUGCAGGAGAAUGAGGGAAAAACCUUGAUAGAGGAUGGUCUUGUAACCAUCGUUGUCUCCUCUGAACCUCCGAGGCAAACCAGCACUCCCAUUUGCCAGAGCAAGUUUGACGCUAGGCGGGCAUCUUCACACGUCCAGAAAUGCCUUGCAGACUGUGAUGUACUGAUAGCAGAUCUGGAGCAGAGACAAGAGUCUUGGGCAGCUGGUCCUUCUAGACACCUCCUCAAUGGAGACAGAGACAGUGGGAGGGGUGGUUGUGUUCUUGAACAGCAUGGCUUGGCCUAUAACUUAAGCCAGUCACAGACUCACCUUAAUUCGGGGUAUCACAAGUUGGCUUCAAUGUCUAAAGCCCACAAAGCGAGCUUCCAGAGUAAGGACCUAUUCUCUGACUGCCAGAUGGUAGAAACAAUUCUGGGAGUAGGAUCUCAAAACUUCAAUAAGGUACACAGAGGACUUGGUGUUGAUAUGAUGAGACUGGGAAAUGACAACUUGGAGCAACUUCUGGAAAUGAUGGAAAGAGAAAACAACAGAAGUCAGAGGGCCACAUUCACCCAGCAACUGGACAACAAGCAGGUCAACCGUGAGUCAUCUCCUGCGCCCAGCAGUAGCCAUUUUUCUCGUCCUGCUCGACCAGCCAAUCAACGCCGUCCAUCCAGAUGGGUUAAGCAUACUCACCCAAGCAAAAUCGCAGACACAUCCAUCCCAACAAGCCCUGGCCUGAAUGCCAAACAAUUCUUGAAUUCAUAUUUCCGGCACACAGAAACUGUCAUCAUGUAAUCAUGAUACAACAAGCUUCAAAGGACACUUUCACCCAAUGGCAUAAACUAAACUUUGACCUUUUGUAGAACACAAUCUACUUUUUUGUAUAUAUAACCAACACCACCACAUCAGCGUAUCUUAUUGCAGCCUGCUAGAAUGGACUAUGGUAUUUUCCUUAAAUGACUUCAAAAGGAUAAUGCUUUCAUUUAACUCUGUGCUGUAUGAAGUGCUUUGGAAAGAAACUCCAGUGGACAUUCUCUGACCUGGUGAAUUUCUGUGCCUAUGAACCCUUCAUUGCCUUUUCUCUUCAUUUCUUUCUGUCAUUCUCAUUAAAUUUUCUAUUCUUUUAUUGUUUUUUAUUUU